UUUGGUCUUGCAUUCCUGCAACUUGACCAAGUUUCCUCUUUUUCUGACCUCUUUAAAAAAGUUAAGAAAAUUAGAUCUCUCCAAAAACAAGAUUGGCGGUGAGAUCCCGAGAUGGUUUUGGGAUGUAGGGGAAGGUAGACCACAGGUUCUUGAUAUUUCUAGUAACCGUAUUGAGGGAGGCAUACAACAAUUUCCAUGGACAGAGUUGACUUUUGUUUACCUUAGUGACAACUUAUUCCGGGGCCUGCUUCCAAUUCCACCACUCCGUAUAGUCAGCUUUCAGGCCACCGACAACGGCUUCAGCGGAGAGAUUCCAUCUUCCAUUUGCGAAUUAUGCUCCCUUGAAACUCUAUACUUGGAUAGUAACAAUCUCUCUGGCUCUGUUCCACAAUGUUUGGGAAAUUUAACCAACCUCGUUGAAUUAGACUUGAGCGCCAAUUAGUUUGAAGGGACAUUACUGCGGUCUUUAGACAAUUGUGCAUCAUUGUUCUUUCUAAAAGUCAGUUACAACAAAAUGAACGAUACUUUUCCCAAGUGGUUGCUAGAAUCCCGCUCAUUGAGGUGGAUCGAUCUGCAGUUCAAUGAAUUCCAUGGCCAAAUCGAUCCUCCAACUGCUCCAUUUCUUCCCUCCACGCUUUAUAGCUUUUCCAUAUCUAACAAUAAUUUGGGGGGUCAAUGGCCCGAGGAAUAUUUUCUCCAUCAGUUGAAUCUGUGGACGGUUGAUCUAUCCAACAACAGAUUUGAAGGUCCUCUUCCAAUUCCACCACCCACCACUCAAUUCUAUUUCAUGGCAAACAACAAGAUUGGUGGAAAGGUUUCACCUUUGAUAGAUGGUGCCACUGAGCUCGUAGUCCUUGACUUGUCCAAUAAUAGUUUGAUGGGCACCUUGCCCGAGUGCUUGAUGAGCUUUAGCAAAAAUCUCUCGGUGCUCAGCCUCCGAAUGAACAGGAUUCAGGGUGUGAUCCCUAGAAAAUUUGCUGAGGGCAGCAAUUUAAGGACUAUUGACUUUAGUUGAAAUCGAUUUGAAGGGACAUUGCCACGGUCCUUACUACAUUGUGAAAAUUUGGAAGUUUUGGAUCUCGGCAACAAUAGAAUGGAGGAUACGUUCCCUGAUUCCCUUCCCAAGCUACAAGUUCUUGUUUUGAGGUCCAACAUGUUCCAUGGCUUCGUAAGUAGUCCUAGAGCAGCUCGCCCAUUUUCUGAAUUGCGCAUUUUCGACCUGGCCAACAACAAUCGGAGCGGUCCUUUACCUAUUAGAUAUAUUAUGAAGUUUACUGCCAUGAUGAAUCAAGAUAAAAUACGGGGCAAGCCGCAAUAUAUGGGAGAUGAUAAUUAUCAAGAUUCAGUCACAUUGACCAUAAAAGGACUAGAGAUACAGUCGGUGACAAUUCUAACUGUUUUCAUGAGUAUCGACUUAUCGAGCAACCAUUUUGGUGGGGAGCUUCCCGUGGGUAUAGGAAACCUGAAGUCACUCAAAGGGCUCAACUUUUCCCGCAACAAUCUUGUAGGCUAUAUCCCUCCGUCUACCAGGAACUUGACUGAACUUGAAUGGCUAGACCUCUCUUCAAAUAAGUUCGUUGGAAGGAUUCCUCGAGAACUAGCGGAUUUGACAUCUCUUGAAUUCUUGAACCUCUCAUAGAAUCAGCUCAUCGGACCUAUUCCUCAGGGACGGCAAUUCAACACAUUCAAGAGCGACUCGUUUGUCGGGAAUCCCGGACUAUGCGGAUUUCCAUUGCCAGAGACAUGCACAGAUGGUUCACGAGAAAUUCCACCAAUAACCAUCGUUCAGGAAAAUGGUACAGAGCAUGGAGGCUGGUUUGAGUGGAUAGCCAUAUUGAUGAGUUAUGGGUCUGGAAUCGUAGCUGGAGUCUCUCUAGGAUACAUUGUUCUCGAAUCCAGAAAAUUUGAAUGGGUCGGGGGAUUGCUUGAAAGGAAAGGAGCUAAUAUGAGAAAGAAGUGGAGGAGCAAUGCUCGUAGAUCUUGUCAAAUAUGAGAAUCUCGACCGUUCAUUUUUUGCAUUGUAAGAUGAUGAAUAAGUCUGUUGAACUGCCAUGAGGCAAAUUAUAUGCUUAUUAUUUUGGUCUUUUUAUCA